UACGGAGGGGGCUAGCGUUGUUCGGAAUUACUGGGCGUAAAGCGCACGUAGGCGGCUUUGCAAGUUAGAGGUGAAAGCCCGGGGCUCAACUCCGGAAUUGCCUUUAAAACUGCAUCGCUAGAAUUGUGGAGAGGUAAGUGGAAUUCCGAGUGUAGAGGUGAAAUUCGUAGAUAUUCGGAAGAACACCAGUGGCGAAGGCGGCUCUCUGGGACGGUACUGACGCUGAGACGCGAAAGCGUGGGGAGCGAACAGG
rnacentral:rRNA from 1 species